UACGGAGGGUGCAAGCGUUAUCCGGAUUCACUGGGUUUAAAGGGUGCGUAGGAGGGCAGGUAAGUCAGUGGUGAAAUCUCCAAGCUUAACUUGGAAACUGCCGUUGAUACUAUCUGUCUUGAAUACCGUGGAGGUGAGCGGAAUAUGUCAUGUAGCGGUGAAAUGCUUAGAUAUGACAUAGAACACCAAUUGCGAAGGCAGCUCACUACACGAAUAUUGACUCUGAGGCCCGAAAGCGUGGGGAUCAAACAGG
rnacentral:rRNA from 1 species